ACCAGCCCCCCACCCCCCUUAUCCGGAUAGUUUUUCUAAGUGGGUUGGCCAAUUUUUACAGUAGAAAACCAUUUGGGGUGCACCAUUUAGAUGAAUGACUCUAAAGAUUUAUCAUUUUGCAGAUAUGGAACCAGUAAGCAUCAUACAGGGAGCUCCUAUGAUAAAGGAAACCAUUAACGCCCCUCUUCAAAGACCAAAAGUACGCCUGUUACCUCUACCCGGUUCCUAAUCGAUGAUUGCCUGGAAUAUAGAAAAAACAAUGCUAGGAAAAAUAAAUUUUACAGUUGCCAACCGCAAUAUUUUCGCACUGUAAUAAAAUCUCGGUCAGCUUUCAGUGUCACCAACGUGAUACAAAGUCAUUCAACUCUUUACAUCAAACUGUUGAGAAGGAUGCAUCAGGCUGAACACUAUUACUCCAAUUGAAAAUGAAUGGACACUGGUAAAAAGUUUAGAAGAGACUUUUAUCGGGUCACCUUGCAACCUCUUACUUUCAUUUGAAUGUAAUUCAAGUAAGUCGUCUAAUGCAAUAAUAAUUUCUGAUUAAAUUAUUUUAAUGUCUUUACAGCACUCAUGCAGCCACCAUGUAGAUAUAUUAAAACGUAUUUUAGGAUAUGCAAAUUAUGGGACUAAGUUAAUGUCUCCAUACUUAGCAUGUUUGUCGCAUGUGAAAAAGAAUGAAAAUGGAAUGUGAUGCAUAGGCAACAUAAUGAGGUCAGAAGAUUGCCCAACAUCUAUGGAAACAUGACUUUGCUGAUGGUAGUAUUUUGUUCUGAGAAUGUUAAAUGUCUAUUGUGAAGGUUUAUCAGAUAGUUGUACUGAACUACUGACACAACCUUUCUUUUCUAGAACCAGUUACAUUUAGCAGGUUGGCUUUAUUGGAGAACUGUUAAAUAUUUGACACGAUUGAUUAAAUGAAUAGGAUUUUGACUGGCGCUGGGUGCCAAACAUGGAUGGUAAUUGGAAGUGCGAUUGGAAAUAUCCAUGAUUUAUUAACGUUGUCUCAUGUUACGGUAUUUUACUAAAGACAAAUUGAAAUGCA